rnacentral:misc_RNA from 1 species
GGUGAAGGAGCUUGUUAUUUUUAAUCUGCGAUGUGGUUGUGUUUGGCCAAAGAAACUUGUGUAGCCUUAGGUUUCACUUUGACAACUUAGUUUUUGUUCUUUGGUUCGAGGCCGCAGGAAGGUGACGAUGGGCAGCUCAGGCCCGUAAUCGGCUCACUUGAAGACUACCUAACCCUAAAUGUAGACAUCAUUUGAGCUUUGUACAUCAACUUUCCACAUAGAUCGUUGAUUUUGUGUUGCUUAGAUUUACUGGAAGCCUUGCUUUAUUUUUCUAGGACUUCUUAGGGGCGACACUUUUUGUUUCUUCCUUUCUGUUUGAGACCCCUUGGUGGAGGAGCUUGUUGUUCUACCUUUCUAUUUGAGAUUCCGACGAUCCUCUUCCAUACAAUAAUGAAGGUUGGCGACGCAGUUUGUUCAGUUGCCUCCCCUGCUUUCCUUUUUGUUCUAUUAGCUAGUGUUGUUGGAGUCCUAGGCCUUUGGACCAGUUUGUAUUAUCGAGCUAAUUUUUUUAGCCUCCUGUUAAUUUUGUAAACCUAUGAUCAUAUGAUCCUCCCUAUAAUGGGAUUAAGCCUAGGGUUUUAACCAUGGAUGUAUUGGGUGGUUAAAGCCCUUUCUAUUAAUGAAAUUAAC